rnacentral:rRNA from 1 species
GUUCUAACGUUGACCCCUAAUCGGGGUUGCGGACAGUGCCUGGUGGGUAGUUUGACUGGGGCGGUCUCCUCCCAAAGAGUAACGGAGGAGCACGAAGGUGGGCUAAUCACGGUUGGACAUCGUGAGGUUAGUGCAAUGGCAUAAGCCCGCUUGACUGCGAGAAUGACAAUUCGAGCAGGUGCGAAAGCAGGUCAUAGUGAUCCGGUGGUUCUGAAUGGAAGGGCCAUCGCUCAACGGAUAAAAGGUAC